CCUACGGGGGGCAGCAGUGGGGAAUAUUGCACAAUGGGGAAAACCCUGAUGCAGCGACGCCGCGUGAGCGAAGAAGUAUUUCGGUAUGAAAAGCUCUAUCAGCAGGGAAGAAAAUGACGGUACCUGACUAAGAAGCCCCGGCUAAAUACGUGCCAGCAGCCGCGGUAAUACGUAUGGGGCAAGCGUUAUCCGGAUUUACUGGGGGUAAAGGGAGUGCAGGCGGCUUGGCAAGUCUGAUGUGAAAUACCGGGGCCCAACCCCGGGGCUGCAUUGGGAACUGCAAGGCUGAAGUGCCGGAGAGGCAG
rnacentral:rRNA from 1 species